CCUACGGGGGGCUGCAGUGGGGAAUAUUGGACAAUGGGGGCAACCCUGAUCCAGCCAUGCCGCGUGUGUGAAGAAGGCCCUCGGGUUGUAAAGCACUUUCAGUGAGGAAGAACGCCUGGUGGUUAAUACCCAUCAGGAAAGACAUCACUCACAGAUGAAGCACCGGCUAACUCCGUGCCAGCAGCCGCGGUAAUACGGAGGGUGCGAGCGUUAAUCGGAAUUACUGGGCGUAAAGCGCGCGUAGGUGGCUUGAUAAGCCGGUUGUGAAAGCCCCGGGCUCAACCUGGGAACGGCAUCCGGAACUGUCAAGCUAGAGUGCAGGAGAGGAAGGUAGAAUUCCCGGUGUAGCGGUGAAAUGCGUAGAGAUCGGGAGGAAUACCAGUGGCGAAGGCGGCCUUCUGGACUGACACUGACACUGAGGUGCGAAAGCGUGGGUAGCAAACAGGAUUAGAUACCCUGGUAGUC
rnacentral:rRNA from 1 species